CCUCCACCUACAUCCACACCUCCAUCACUCUCUCCUCUUGUUCUCUCUGUGAUGCCAUUUUUUUGGAUCAGUCUGUGUUGUGGUUCUACUGGUGUUACUGGUUCUGCUGGUGAGACGAUGUGUUCACAGGAAACCUGAAGUGAAUAAAGAAGAGCCUGGAGAAGAUGACAUCAUGCAGAGUCAUCAUCAUCCAAUCAAACAAAGAAGAGACACUGAUUCAGCUGCAGUCUACUCAGCAGUGACAACUGAAGACAUCAGUUAUGGACCAACAACCAUCAGAUCAAGGAGGCCCAGGUACAGCUGCUCUGUAACAGAGCCAAGCUAGCUGCUGUUUGCAGCCAUCAUGCUAAGCUAAGCUAACCAAACCACAUCCUGAGUGAAGCUCAGUCCCAGUUCAUAUUUACCAGUGUGAACUGGGACUGUGUGAUGCAGACAGGUGCAGGUUGGAGGUCUUGAUUGAACUCCAAAGCUUGUAAUCAUGUUUCCUGUUGUUUGAACCCGAGAUCACUGAUGGUCACUUUGACCCUGAGGUUGAAGAUUCUCUGGUCUGAUGAAACAAGAACUAUUUGUCCACACUUUAUAAACAUUAUGGAAACCAGGACCUGCUCAUCACCUACCCAGUACCAUCCCAGCAGUGAAGCAUGGAGCCAGACUUGAACCCCACUGAGCAUCUCUGUAGAGACCUGAAAAAGGCUGAGCACCAACAGCCCAACCUGACGGAGCUCGAGAGGAGUUGAAAUGAAGAACGACUAAAAAUCCGUCCAAGUGUGCAAAGCUUGUUGCAUCAUACUCAAAAAUACUCGGUGCUGUAAUUCCUGUCAAAGGUGC